rnacentral:rRNA from 1 species
GAUGAACGCUGGCGGCGUGCCUAAUACAUGCAAGUCGAGCGAACAGACGAGGAGCUUGCUCCUCUGACGUUAGCGGCGGACGGGUGAGUAACACGUGGAUAACCUACCUAUAAGACUGGGAUAACUUCGGGAAACCGGAGCUAAUACCGGAUAAUAUAUUGAACAGCAUGGUUCAAUAGUGAAAGACGGUUUUGCUGUCACUUAUAGAUGGAUCCGCGCCGCAUUAGCUAGUUGGUAAGGUAACGGCUUACCAAGGCGACGAUGCGUAGCCGACCUGAGAGGGGGAUCGGCCACACUGGAACUGAGACACGGUCCAGACUCCUACGGGAGGCAGCAGUAGGGAAUCUUCCGCAAUGGGCGAAAGCCUGACGGAGCAACGCCACGUGAGUGAUGAAGGUCUUCGGAUCGUAAAACUCUGUUAUUAGGGAAGAACAAAUGUGUAAGUAACUAUGCACGUCUUGACGGUACCUAAUCAGAAAGCCACGGCUAACUACGUG